CUAAAAACUAAAUUUUCAAUGCUAGUGCUUGCAUUAGUGCUGCAAUGCGGUUGGGGCUGUAUUUUCAAAAUGAUCUUGGUUUGUGUCAUUUGACUUUUCAAAUAAUCGCAGUACUUGUUUGCAGAAGAACUGAUCGGGACUCCGACCUGAAAAAACAAAGGCAGGACAUUCUGAGCUACAUGUCUCGUGUAGGUAGACACAGCCUAUUUGCCCAUCCUGUCAUGCAAAUGAAAAGCCUGGUGGUAUUUCGGUAGCCCUUUCAUGAAGGGAGUUGGGAACGAAGCUCAGCUGCACCUUUGCCAAGGUUAGUGCAUCAGUGAAGUCGUAUGGCAGACAGCAACACUUUGGGGAAAAUGGGAUAUACUGCCAAUGAGCAAGGUGGGAGCAGAGCAGAGCAUAUCUGUGCUGCCUGGGACACACCCGUCUCUGGAUCCUGUCUGCAUGUCAGGCUUGAAGAAAGUGUGUACCAAACAGCUGAAUGUCCCUGUUUCCAUCUCUGUUCCUCAGUGGCUAGGUCCUUUACUGUGAUUUGAUGUAGCAGCUAUGGCUAUAAACUAGAUACUACAUUUGACAAGAGUAAUUUGUAACUGUUGGGAUACGCUCCUGAGCCAUGCUAACAGAGACUGGAGAUGCUCUUCUCAAAGAAUAAUCUGAUUACUUGGAGACUUGGGAACUGUUCACAUGCAGGAUACCUUUGGAUGAAGGUACAAGGGUGGUGAGGUGCCAGCUUUUUCCUCCAGCUGUUCAGUGCCUCCUCCUAAGCCUACUUAGGUAGGUAGUAAAGACAUUGGCUGCCUGGUAUUUUACAGGAAUAUUGGUACUCUGUACAUAUGUUAGUACAGGUAUUUGGGUUGGUGGAUUGCAUGUACCUCCUCUGCAGAGAAGAGCAAUUAGUUUGCAAGCCCAGGUUCAGCAAUAUACCUUAGCAUGUUUCAUCAUCUGCUUAAUGAACAUUAAUUAAUUUUGCAAAUAUUGUAGGUUAUAUCUAGGUGAACAAAAGACAAAGAGCACAUGGUUUGGCCAGGGCUAUAAUACAAUCUAAGUCAGGAUUGGGUGGUUUUCUUAUUCUCUUUCUGAUAAGCCAUUCUAUCAUGUAUAACCUAACCCUCUUUUGAAAAUCUACAAAUUGACAAUCUAGUAUCAGAAUCAAAAUGCAGCUCUAAUCUUCUAUCAAACAUUCAUGUAAUUUUGUUGUAUAAUCUCAAAUGAGUCGCUUAUACUAUACCUUCCUAGCAUCUUCAGAUUUCUUAUGCA
rnacentral:lncRNA from 1 species